AUUGAACGCUGGCGGCAGGCUUAACACAUGCAAGUAGAGCGAGCGGCGGACGGGUGAGUAAUGUCUGGGAAACUGCCUGAUGGAGGGGGAUAACUACUGGAAACGGUAGCUAAUACCGCAUACCAUCAGAUGUGCCCAGAUGGGAUUAGCUAGUAGGUGGUGUAAUGGCUCACUUAGGCGACGAUCCCUAGCUGGUCUGAGAGGAUGACCGGCAACACGGGAAUGGAGAACCGGUCCAGACUCCGAGGGGAGGCAGCAUUGGGAAAUAUUGCACAUUGGGCGCAAGCUUGAUGCAGACAUGCCGCGUGUGUGAAGAAGGCCUUGGGGUUUUAAAGCACUUUCAGCGAGGAGGCGUUACUCGCAGAAGAAGCACCGGCUAACUCCGUGCCAGCAGCCGCGGUAAUUC
rnacentral:rRNA from 1 species